rnacentral:rRNA from 1 species
GACGUAGGGCGCGAGCGUUGUCCGGAUUUAUUGGGCGUAAAGCGCACGUAGGCGGCUUAGCAAGUCGGAUGUGAAAUCCCUCGGCUCAACCAAGGAAGUGCACCCGAAACUGAGUAGCUAGAGUACGAAAGAGGGUCGCGGAAUUCCCGGUGUAGAGGUGAAAUUCGUAGAUAUCGGGAGGAACACCGGUGGCGAAGGCGGCGACCUGGGUCGAGACUGACGCUGAGGCGCGAAAGCGUGGGGAGCAAACAGG